rnacentral:rRNA from 1 species
AUUGAACGCUGGCGGCAUGCUUUACACAUGCAAGUCGAACGGUAACAGGCCGCAAGGUGCUGACGAGUGGCGAACGGGUGAGUAAUGCAUCGGAACGUGCCCAGUCGUGGGGGAUAACUACUCGAAAGAGUAGCUAAUACCGUAUACGAUCUAUGGAUGAAAGCGGGGGACCGUAAGGCCUCGCGCGAUUGGAGCGGCCGAUGUCAGAUUAGGUAGUUGGUGGGGUAAAGGCUCACCAAGCCAACGAUCUGUAGCUGGUCUGAGAGGACGACCAGCCACACUGGGACUGAGACACGGCCCAGACUCCUACGGGAGGCAGCAGUGGGGAAUUUUGGACAAUGGGCGCAAGCCUGAUCCAGCAAUGCCGCGUGCAGGAAGAAGGCCUUCGGGUUGUAAACUGCUUUUGUACGGAACGAAACGGCUCUGGUUAAUACCCGGGGCUAAUGACGGUACCGUAAGAAUAAGCACCGGCUAACUACGUG